AGAAAGGAUUGGGAAGACAGGAGGUAGAAGGAGGCAUUUUUGCAUUCCUUUAGAUAAAGGGAAGUACCCCCAAAAAAGAUACUCUUGCUUUGCAGGUGUCUGCUCUGGAGUCACUGCUCUUUGGUGAGAGGAAGAAGGCCUUGUUUGACUGCCACAGAUGGGACAUUUAGUGGAGUAAGAAGACUGGUGUGAGAACGGGGUGUUGGUGUUAAUGUUUGGAUUACGGUCCUAGAUGCUGAGAAUUCCUACAGUGGAAGGAGCUUUGGAAUAAGAAACUCGUGAUCUCACCCUUGCCUUGGCGCCCCCAUCAGCUGUGUGACCCUGGCCAAAUAUAAGUCUUAACGUUACAUCUGCAAUGGAAAAACAAGUCAAACUCAGCAAAAAGGAGCCCUGAAGAGACAGAGUUAAGUGCUUCCGUGAUGAGAGUAGAGUUGGCCUAUGCUGUCCCUCCCAGGACUCCUUUACCCAAGAGAAAGAGAGAGUGUGCAUCCAAAGGGGAGUGAAAAUAGAAUAUAAAUAGGGAAAAUAGAACCAUUCAGAGCAGUUCAGGGAUCUUUACUACUCUGACAUGGAAGGAAGAAGGAGGAGAAGAGAAAAGAUGAACGGACCUUGAACCUGGGAUAUCGCUCAUGUGACUGCUACAUUGGUAUUAAGAUACAGCAUUCAUGUGCCCUGGAAUGUUUUGUUCUAUUAGGUGCUACACCCAGUAGAACAGUGCUCCAUCCAAUGCAAUUUUCUGGAAUUUAAACAAUCCAGACCAGAAUUUUUCCUCCUUGGAGAUGGAAUGUCUUGCUCCAGAGGGAGGAGGAAGAAGAGAAAAGAGAAGUCUCAACCAGCCUCCUCUCUACCCCACACAGAGAAUAGAGAUGCAAAACUUCUCCCA
ensembl:lncRNA novel transcript